GAACAAAAUAAGAGUUUUAAUACCCAGUUAAAGGAAAAAUCCCUAAAACUAACAGAGUAAAAAAAAACCAAAAUUUCCUUCAAUACUCCCGCAAAACUGAAGUGGAACAAACCUCCCGACGCAGAUCUGCACCGCCGCUCCAUUGCAACGCCUUCCGACCGCUUCCUAGCCUCCGUUGAACGCCGUUUGUACCAUCGUUGCCUUCAAUUCGAUAUCGGUUGUGACGUUUAUCAGAUGAUCUGCAGUUGGGGUUUUUGUCCUGCAAAUGUGUUGGUGUUGUGAUGUUGUCUGCCUUAUAUGCUGCAGUCUAGGUAAAUUAGAAGGAGGGGGCGUGCACCAUAUUAGCCGUAGCUGAGUUCUUACCAUUACGGUUUCCAUGAGGAUGGUUUGAAGAUCUUUCUUUCAAACAUAUAUUCAUAUCCUUCCGUGUCAAUGGAAGAUAAAAAGAGCAGACCAAACAGAAGGGCAUUGCUUCCCAUUGAGCCUUUUCUGAUGGCCCUGGCUAGGAAAUUCAACCCUAGAGAAUAAAAUUUGUCGCAACAGAUAGAGGAAGGUUUAAUGACAAGUUCAAUGAGAGCUCCCACCGUCCCACGCAUUCUCAAACUACGAUUGACGAGCUAAGGGAGAGGUGGAUCUCAUACGUUACCGAAUAUCACCAACCAAAUAACGAUGAAGAUCAAGAUGAUGAUGACGAUGAUCUAGUGUGACUUAAGCUAGCUCAAGGAGAUGGUUACCUCAGUUUCAGUCCUGCAUUUCUGCUGUUGCUGCAGAAUCUGUUCUUGCUGCAAACGCUGUUGUUGUUGCAGAAUCUGUUCCAGCUGUCUUUUUUUCUUUUUUUUUAAACAGUGAUAUUGGAUUUUAUUAUUUGCCGUACCUUGUGUAGAUCAUUUAUAUUUUAUCAAUGAAUAAUAUGAUUUUGUUAUUGAAUGAAUAAUAUUAUUUUGUUAUUGAAUGAAAUUAUUUUUGGAAA